ACAAGAUUAUCACUAAUAAUCUAAAAGUAAAAUAAAUGUUUAAAUACUUGCUGGGGAAAAUAUUAAUUUAGAGAUUCCUUUGUGUAUGAUUAGAAUGAUUAGAAUCCUCAGACAGCUUUUUUUUUUUUUUUUUUUUUUUAAGACAAACAUCUUUUCAAGGAAAGGAAAUGAUAAAGAUGUUUAUGUGUUGGCCUCAGAUAAGAUGGUAAUGGAUACAGUUGCCAAUCAAACCAACAGAAAGUGUUCUUGUACCUUAAGCAUAUUUUCCUUUGUAACUCUCCCUUUCCCUCCUCCCUGCCCCCCAAAAAAAGUUUUUUUUGAAUUUGUUUUUAAAUUAAGUAUGCUUAUGACUGAAUUGAUACAAACAUGCACUACAGACAUGAACAGAGUCAUGUAGGUUUCUUCUACAUCAACAUUCAGGAAGGGAACAAUUCACCUCUGUUCUUCUGCUACCACGCUACAUACUGAGCUUGUAUUUUCUGGCAGAAGGAUGAAAUACAAUUGCAUCACCUCUCAUUGCCACAAAGCUGCAGCCUAAAGACAUGUGGUACCUAUUAAACACAGUCAAAACUAUUGAGAAAGUCAGAAGCAAACACAUCUGACCAGUAUAACAUUUAACAAUUAUCAAUACCUAAGGAAAAAAGACCUAAUGGCUUUAUUUAACAACGGUUCUGAAAAAAAAAAAAACUGGUUCAGUGGACAGAAUGCCUUCUUCAAUCAAUGCUUCCUUACUUGUAAAGACAAGGUAUUUGUUGUUUCUAAAGUGUUUCUAUCAGAUCUAUGCCAGUCAUGAUCAUCCCUGGUUUGGGUAUCUGACUAAGCCUGGUUUGGAUGAAGAGCUGGCUGCAUACAUGAGCCACCAAUGCAGCUGUGGUGGUUCUUGGCUGCAAUGAAAGCAUCUACUUGCUUCUAUGUUUCUUAACUGGGAUCUUCUGUGUGCAACAACUGUUAUUGUAGGCCUUUUAUUCCUCUUAAGUUUUCAGUGGAGGCUCUUGCUGUCUAAUUUUACAUGUGUUUUGUGUUAGUCAUUUGCAAUUACCUAGGUUACCCCCAUCUCCUCAUUACUCCUCAUUACAUUAUCAUAAUUGAGAGUUGACUAAUUGAAACCAUAGGUGCAGUUUUAGAGCAAGACAUACUUUUUUUUUCCUGCAAUAAUACACAACUCUCCCUUCCUUAUGAGGAAACCAUUGUAAAUUCACAGCCAGUGCUCUUCAGUAGACAUCUUUUAAAUAUUGAACACACGCCACAAUUCAGAGGUAGACUCAAUGGCCUGGUAUGUACAGGAAUUAUGAUUUUCAUCCCCUUCAGCUCCAUGUCACCCAAAAUAUUGGGAUUCACAAACAGACUAGACACAAUACCACAUCAGGAACGCAUAAUGCAGGCGGUACAAUGGAGUAGGUGCAUCUACCUUUGCACCUCAUGUAAUUUUUCGCUCUGCCAGGGGAUGGGUAAGAGCAUUUCAACAUAUGCCACAGUAGUGCUAAUUGCUGCUCUAAUGCAUGGUAGUUACCUUUUUUUCAAUAGCUGUUCUACAGCACAGAAAACAGAGUUGAAAGUGCUCCAUCCUUUCAGGCACAGAUGCUCCCAACCCUCCCCCAGCAGACUUAAAGGCUGUGGUUUGGGAAGGCCAUGGGAGAACCUGGCUUAAGGGGUUUGUUCCACUGCCUUUGAAGCCGAAGAGCUACUGCACAAUGUCCCACUACAAACCUGCCCUAGCACAAUGUGCAUAAAUAAAGGCAAUUACAAUUGUAUAAAUAUUUUUAAUGUGAAGUUUUCAUCUCAUUAUGCCAAAUAGAAAACAGAAAAAAAUAGGCAUAUUUCUUUAAGAUCUUUCAAAUUUAAUACUUCUGUGUAUAUGCCACAUUACUUGCCUGCUACAAAACCAUCUACCCACACUUCGAUAUAAAGAUAUAUUUUAAAAAUAAGUAGCACAUUAGUGACUUGCAAAUCCAAAAAUAGUAACCUACCAGCAUAAUGGUAUUAGGAGAGGGGUCAAUAAAUACACCUCAGAUAUAUCCUUUUUUUCUGUAUUAAAAAUGUAAAUGAGACAUAGACAGAGAUAGGCCAUGGUUACUUGCACACUUUUACCAUCAGCAGUGUUAGGGCAAGUAAUUUACAACCUUCACCUCCCCAAGUUGCUCAUUAAUAACCCUAUACUACUGCCUAUUUUAAAGGAUGACUGCUUAUGAGAUAGCAAGGAGAUAGGGUAAAAAUAAUACAGAUUAUUUUUUUCUUUUCUUCAGUUCCUUGCUUCAACUCUGAGUGCAGCCCAACAGACCAUACAGCUAGACCAAGUGAGCGCAUAGGGUUUCUUUCGAGUGUGAAGUCACUCUCAUGGAUUCAUGCAACCUUGAGCAUUUAUGAAUUACUUGACCUGCGCAUCUCCAUUUUUUUCAGCUAGGCGAAGUCUACUUGUUUCAGCCGCCCCACGCAUUUCUGCCUUUGGUGUGUCCCUCCCUGCUGGCUGGAGCAGGUCAGGCUUCCAGCCUCCUGAGGGGUGAAAUCGCAUCCUGCUCCUCACAACCCAUUCGCCACAUGUGAGAUAAAAAACACUAUUAUAUUAACACACACAAGAUGAGUGAAUACAGCCCAUCUCUAGCUCUGAAGUGACAGCAAACGAAUAUGGAGAUGAAUGCUCAUUUGGGGAGAUAAGCAAGCACAGGCACUGGAAUUGGAGUGAGGAAGUGCACUGUGAGAUUUCUUUCACAGUCAGAGAUUUGUGUGCGUAGUUUGUACAGGUACACACCUGGGAUAUAGUCAAAGGCUUAAGUUGGCAGUAACUUUUAUGGACUGCAGUUUAUCUUCAAAAUGUCUGUUUAUAAUGUACAUACUAAGAAAACCUUAAACACUGUAGCAGGGAGUGCUACCAAUAAGGAGUAAGUAAGGUAUAAAACAUUACACUUCUCAACUCAUCUACAGCAUCUGAGUGCUAUUACGUGAUGUAUUUUGGAG